UACGGGGGGGGCAAGCGUUGUUCGGAAUUACUGGGCGUAAAGGGCUCGUAGGCGGCCAACUAAGUCGGACGUGAAAUCCCUCAGCUUAACUGGGGAACUGCGUCCGAUACUGGAUGGCUUGAGUUUGGGAGAGGGAUGCGGAAUUCCAGGUGUAGCGGUGAAAUGCGUAGAUAUCUGGAGGAACACCGGUGGCGAAGGCGGCAUCCUGGACCAACACUGACACUGAGGAGCGAAAGCGUGGGGAGCAAACAGG
rnacentral:rRNA from 1 species